CGAUAACUACAGGUGUAAGAAUGAAGAGAAUACUUUUCGUAGUUGUCACAGUACUUAGCGUGGUAAUGGCACAAGAUUCAAUAGAACAUUCCCGCGAUGUAAAUGAAGCCUUUACUGAACUGGAAUGUCUAGUGAUAAACGUUCAUAGGAUGUCUGAGGAACUACUCGUUGCCAGAGGAACUUUAUUUUUCCACUCCCAAAAUAAUAGUAGCGAAUGUCACGUGUCAGAUUGAUAUUAGUGACAUUAUCAACAAAAGGUGUCGAUCCUUAAGUUCGCUCAGCUCAAAAGUCUA